ACAACCAAAGAAACAAACAGGCAGUUCUGUCAAGAAACAGUAAAGGAAGCCUGAUGUCCAAGAAGAUAUCUUGUCAUCUGCAACAAAAGUGGCAGCAGGAGAUGGCUAUAAUGUUCCUUUUCCCCUCAUGGAAGAAGAGAGGAAGACACAGAAAGAGAGUGAAAGUGUAAAAGGAAGCAGUAAAAUUGGAAAGAGGGAAUUUGGAAAACUCUUUCUCAGAUGUGGUUUGAUUCCUGGUAGACUAGAAUUACAGUGAAUAUUAUUUA